GACGUAGGGCGCGAGCGUUGUCCGGAUUUAUUGGGCGUAAAGAGCUCGUAGGCGGCUUGUCGCGUCGUCCGUGAAAACCUGCGGCUCAACUGCAGGCUUGCGGUCGAUACGGGCAGGCUGGAGUUCGGUAGGGGAGACUGGAAUUCCUGGUGUAGCGGUGAAAUGCGCAGAUAUCAGGAGGAACACCGGUGGCGAAGGCGGGUUGCUGGGCUGACACUGACGCUGAGGCGCGAAAGCCAGGGGAGCGAACGGG
rnacentral:rRNA from 1 species